GGAGCUAUAGCUCAGUGGUGGAGGGCAUGCUUAGUAUGCAUGAGGUCUUGUGUUUGAUUCCCAGUACCUCCA
rnacentral:tRNA from 1 species